rnacentral:lncRNA from 1 species
GCAUUCCGAAUAUGCGACAGUCGUUUCGCGAGCGACGUCAACACCUUUCUACAAUACCACUGGCUCUACGAAGUUGGCGGAUAUAUAGGUUGGCGCCAACUGGAGCACAACACCAAUGUAACUGCCGUACGCGCGGAGAACCCCGUGGCUGAGUGGGUGGUGCGCUGCCACCACGUCCGAUGACGGCUCGCCUGCUAGUAUUGCAGCAGCAUUCCAAAGUUUCAGCUUCGGCUCGGUUUUCUCGUUCACGUCUGGCAGUGCGACACUCGCCUUCAAUUCAACACCAUCGGCCUGUUGACCGCCAGCUGGAGAACUCGCACAAAACCCAGCCACCAAGCUUAAGCCUUUCAGACUGCUUCAGUGAGGAAGCGUCGUUCAAAAGGAUUGGCGAGUGCUCGUGCGCAGGCGACUAGCUCUUAGGACGUCAGCAGGGCAGCUGCGGCGUUGCAGUAGUGCACGUCGGGCAAGCUUAUCGAUGGCGCAGUCACUAGGUCGUUCUGGCCUGUAAAGUUCAAGCAAAGGUCAUUUGUUGCAGUAUUGUGAAGUAGAUAGCCCGUGGUGGCAGCCAGAAGAGUGAGCGGGCAGCUGUGUACAAACUGAGGUCAUGCAGCGUUUUCGUUCACUUGAAGUGCUGCUAGAGCGAGAUAGGGACCUUGCCUUUAAAGUCUCGCAUCGUUAUAUAUACCAUACAGUUGUGUAUUUUUGAUAGGCAGAGUGCUGUAUACAUGAAUCAUGCAUGUCGUCUUAUCGUUGUUUUUAAUGUUAAUGAUGAUUAAAUGAAAUUUAUACC